UGGGGAAUAUUGGACAAUGGGCGGAAGCCUGAUCCAGCAACGCCGCGUGAGGGAUGACGGCCUUCGGGUUGUAAACCUCUUUCAGCACAGACGAAGCGCAAGUGACGGUAUGUGCAGAAGAAGGACCGGCCAACUACGUGCCAGCAGCCGCGGUAAUACGUAGGGUCCGAGCGUUGUCCGGAAUUAUUGGGCGUAAAGGGCUCGUAGGCGGUUUGUCGCGUCGGGAGUGAAAACACCGGGCUUAACUCGGUGCUUGCUUUCGAUACGGGCAGACUAGAGGCAUUCAGGGGAGAACGGAAUUCCUGGUGUAGCGGUGAAAUGCGCAGAUACCAGGAGGAACACCGGUGGCGAAGGCGGUUCUCUGGGAAUGUCCUGACGCUGAGGAGCGAAAGUGUGGGGAGCGAACAGGAUUAGAUACCCUGGUAGUCCACACCGUAAACGUUGGGCGCUAGGUUGGGAUCCAUUCCACGGGUUCCGUGCCGCAGCUAACGCAUUAAGCGCCCCGCCUGGGGA
rnacentral:rRNA from 1 species